GACGUAGGGGGCGAGCGUUGUCCGGAUUCACUGGGCGUAAAGGGCGUGUAGGUGGCUCGUUAAGCGUGUGGUGAAAGCCUGGGGCUCAACCCCAGGUCUGCCGUGCGAACUGGCGAGCUUGAGUACAGUAGAGGCAGGUGGAAUUUCGGGUGUAGCGGUGGAAUGCGUAGAUAUCCGAAAGAACACCGGUGGCGAAGGCGGCCUGCUGGGCUGUUACUGACACUGAAACGCGACAGCGUGGGGAGCAAACAGG
rnacentral:rRNA from 1 species